rnacentral:rRNA from 1 species
GAUGAACGCUAGCGGCAGGCCUAACACAUGCAAGUCGAGGGGUAUAAUUUAGCUUGCUAAAUUAGAGACCGGCGCACGGGUGCGUAACGCGUAUGCAAUCUACCUUGUACAGGGGAAUAGCCCAGAGAAAUUUGGAUUAAUGCCCCAUGGUAUUGAUAAUUGGCAUCAAUUAUCAAUUAAAGUUCCAACGGUACAAGAUGAGCAUGCGUCCCAUUAGUUAGUUGGUAAGGUAACGGCUUACCAAGACGAUGAUGGGUAGGGGUCCUGAGAGGGAGAUCCCCCACACUGGUACUGAGACACGGACCAG